AGUGAACGCUGGCGGCAGGCCUAACACAUGCAAGUCGAACGGCAGCACAGAGGAGCUUGCUCCUUGGGUGGCGAGUGGCGGACGGGUGAGGAAUACGUCGGAAUCUGCCUAUUUGUGGGGGAUAACGUAGGGAAACUUACGCUAAUACCGCAUACGACCUUAGGGUGAAAGCGGAGGACCUUCGGCUUCGCGCAGAUAGAUGAGCCGACGUCGGAUUAGCUAGUGGCGGGGUAAAGGACCCACCAAGGCGACGAUCCGUAGCUGGUCUGAGAGGAUGAUCAGCCACACUGGAACUGAGACACGGUCCAGACUCCUACGGGAGGCAGCAGUGGGGAAUAUUGGACAAUGGGCGCAAGCCUGAUCCAGCCAUGCCGCGUGUGUG
rnacentral:rRNA from 1 species